rnacentral:rRNA from 1 species
CCUACGGGAGGCAGCAGUGAGGAAUAUUGGUCAAUGGGCGCGAGCCUGAACCAGCCAAGUAGCGUGAAGGAUGACUGCCCUACGGGUUGUAAACUUCUUUUAUAAAGGAAUAAAGUGAGGCACGUGUGCCUUUUUGUAUGUACUUUAUGAAUAAGGAUCGGCUAAAUACGUGCCAGCAGCCGCGGUAAUACGGAGGAUCCGAGCGUUAUACGGAUUUUUUGGGUUUAAAGGGAGCGUAGAUGGGUGGUUAAGUCAGUUGUAAAAUUUUGCGGCUAAAACGUGAAAUGCCGAUUGAUACUGGAUUCUUGAGUGAGAGAGAAGUAUGCGGAAUGAGGGGUGGAGCGGUGAAAGGCAUCGAUAUAAGGCAGAACUGAGAGUGAGGAGGAAGCAUAUCGGCGAUAAACUGACGCUGAGGCACGAAAGAGUGGGGAUCGAACAGGAUUAGAUACCCCAGUAGUC